rnacentral:rRNA from 1 species
ACAACCUUAACCUUUUCUCAAACUUUAAAUAUGUAAGAAGUCCUUGUUACUUAAUUGAACGUGGACAUGCGAAUGAGAGUUUCUAGUGGGCCAUUUUUGGUAAGCAGAACUGGCGAUGCGGGAUGAACCGAUCGUGAGGUUAAGGUGCCGGAAUACACGCUCAUCAGACACCACAAAAGGUGUUAGUACAUCCAGACAGUUGGACGGUGGCCAUGGAAGUCGGAA